rnacentral:tRNA from 1 species
GCCUUCGUGGUGUAACGGUAGCACACUCGGUACGUAUUCGAGAGAUCCAGGUUUGAAUCCUGCCCAGGGCA